rnacentral:misc_RNA from 1 species
GAAGCGCGAAAUGUAGUGUGAAUCGCAGAACAUUGUGAAUCAUCGAGUCUUUGAACGCACAUUGCGCCUCCUCGACGAGGCAUGCCUGUCUGAGCGUCAUUUAAACCGAAUGGGGGUCCAUCUUUGGGUCCCCCGUGUUGGACGGUCGCCCCCCGGGGCGUCGUCUCAAAGGCAUCGGGCCUCGUGGGCGGAUGAGUUCCUCUAGGGCUGACCGCCUCACCGGCCGUGGCUUUCCUCACCAUUUGACCUCAGAUCAGGUAGGAUUACCGCCUGAACUUAA